UUAAAAAGUCCAUGGGGGUCCCCUC
rnacentral:misc_RNA from 1 species